rnacentral:lncRNA from 1 species
UUGAGGAACCUUUAAACCAUUUGGUCGAGAAAUAGCAUCUCUAAGGACUCUAGAAUCUAGUGAGCAUACACCUAACACAUUUGUAGCUAUCUCACCCUUCCUUGUUCUAUAUCUACUUUUGUCAGCUUCUGGCACAAUGACCUUGAUGUAAGUGCCAUCAAGAGCUCCUAAACAAUUUUUAAAGUAUUUCCAUCGUUCGUCUGUGUUUCCCUCCAAAAUUGGUUUAGGUUGUUUUAACAAUUCUUUAUGACACUUCAAAACUGUAACACCCCGUUUUUCCAACAUAAAAGUUUCAUAAAAAUAAUCAGAGUAUUCACAUAAAUGGAAUGUCACAUUCUUUUCUUAAAAUCAUAAACUGAA